rnacentral:rRNA from 1 species
AACGAACGCUGGCGGCAGGCUUAACACAUGCAAGUCGAACGCCCCGCAAGGGGAGUGGCAGACGGGUGAGUAACGCGUGGGAAUCUACCCAACCCUACGGAAUAGCUCCGGGAAACUGGAAUUAAUACCGUAUACGCCCUUCGGGGGAAAGAUUUAUCGGGGAUGGAUGAGCCCGCGUUGGAUUAGCUAGUUGGUGGGGUAAAGGCCUACCAGGGCGACGAUCCAUAGCUGGUCUGAGAGGAUGACCAGCCACAUUGGGACUGAGACACGGCCCAAACUCCUACGGGAGGCAGCAGUGGGGAAUAUUGGACAAUGGGCGCAAGCCUGAUCCAGCCAUGCCGCGUGAGUGAUGAAGGUCUUAGGAUUGUAAAGCUCUUUCAGUGGGGACGAUAAUGACGGUACCCACAGAAGAAGCCCCGGCUAACUUCGUG